GACGAACCGUACGAACGUUAUUCUGAAUCACUGGGCUUAAAGGGUGCGUAGGCGGCGCGACAAGUUGGGUGUGAAAUCCCUCGGCUCAACCGAGGAACUGCGCCCAAAACUGUCGUGCUCGAGGGAGACAGAGGUGAGCGGAACUUAGGGUGGAGCGGUGAAAUGCGUUGAUAUCCUAAGGAACACCUGUGGCGAAAGCGGCUCACUGGACCACAACUGACGCUGAGGCGCGAAAGCUAGGGGAGCAAACAGG
rnacentral:rRNA from 1 species